rnacentral:rRNA from 1 species
AUUGAACGCUGGCGGCAGGCCUAACACAUGCAAGUCGAGCGAGCGGCGGACGGGUGAGUAAUGUAUGGGAAACUGCCUGAUGGAGGGGGAUAACUACUGGAAACGGUGGCUAAUACCGCAUACUAUCAGAUGUGCCCAGAUGGGAUUAGCUAGUUGGUGGGGUAAUGGCCUACCUAGGCGACGCUCCGUAGCUGGUCUGAGAGGAUGACCAGCCACACUGGAACUGAGACACGGUCCAGACUCCUACGGGAGGCAGCAGUGGGGAAUAUUGGACAAUGGGCGCAAGCCUGAUGCAGCCAUGCCGCGUGUGUGAAGAAGGCCUUCGGAUUGUAAAGCACUUUAAGCGAGGAGGCGUUACUCACAGAAGAAGCACCGGCUAACUCCGUGCCAGCAGCCGCGGUAAUUC